ensembl:snRNA U6 U6 spliceosomal RNA
GUGUUCGCUUUGGCAGCACAUAUACUAAAAUUGCAAUGAUACAGAGAAAAUUAGCAUGGCCCCUGCACAAGGAGAACAGUUGAUACAGUCUUCAGCUCUUCAUUUAG